rnacentral:rRNA from 1 species
UACGUAGGGGCCGAGCGUUGUCCGGAGUUAUUGGGCGUAAAGCGCGCGCAGGCGGCUUGACGCGCCCGACGUGAAAGCCCCCGGCUUAACCGGGGAGGGUCGUCGGGUACGGUCAGGCUUGAGGGCGGGAGAGGGUGGUGGAAUUCCCGGUGUAGUGGUGGAAUGCGUAGAGAUCGGGAGGAAUACCAGUGGCGAAAGCGGCACCCUGGCGUCGUACUGACGCACAUGUGCGAAAGCGUGGGGAGCGAACGGG